rnacentral:lncRNA from 1 species
UUCCUUUCCCCCCUUUAUUUUCAUUUAGCAAAAUCGAUUUCCCUCUUGUUUUUUUUUCAUUCACCAGAAAACCCUAACAUCAACUUUCUUCACUUUCUCUCUAUCACGAACACAGAGACUUUUUCACUUUCUCUCUUCACGAACCCUAACAUCGCAGCUUCAAAUCCAUCGCCGCUUUCAUCGCAGCUUCCAUCGCAGAGCAGCUUCUCACACG